ensembl:lncRNA
CGCCCGCAGAGAGAGUCCCGGAGCCGUAAGGCUAAAUGCGCUGCCGGGCGUGGCUGGGCCUUGAGUAAAUGCUGGAGGGAGCUAACCCGCCUCUCCCUACCGCUGGCGAGGAGACAGCUAUCUCCCCUUGCCGAAACAAUUCAGAGGCGACGCUGUGGAUAAUUCUGGAUGGGGAUGAAGUUUCCCAUUUUCCUCAGCAUUUGCUCAGCUUUAAGGGGACGUUCAUCAGAAUAAAAGAAAGAAAAAAAAACCAUGACAACCUCAACAGCAGAAAGCCCUAAGCACCUGCGUCUAACUUCGCCAGUCUCUCUUUACUUUCCCUACAGGAGUUUUUCUAAGGAGACAAUGGCCUCCUUCACCCUAACCUCUGCCUACGACUUUGAUUUUUUUUCUUUUUGGGGGAGUGGGGUGCGAC